rnacentral:lncRNA from 1 species
GGUGGGAAUCUGUCCUCGGCGCCCUGGACCAAGUCGCGCAGCGCCUGCAGCAACAGGCCACACAAAAGUGUCCGAACGCCUCGAGGACCGCGACAAGGGAAGUGUCUCUUCAAAGUGCGACCAAGUGGGGAAGAAGGUGUGAUUACUGUGGUCAGCAUCUAGAAAACAGAAGCACUCCCGCCUCCUCUGUGCUACAUCCUUCUUACUGGAUCUUUCUAUCAGUGAACAUUGUGGAAGUACCAUUACUACAUCGUCAUUCCUGAAGGAAAAGUUGCCAAACUUUUUUCUUUGGAGUUGCUUCGAAGUUGUUGGGAUUUUUGAUGAUGCCUCCCCUAUGUGGAUUACUACUGUUUGAACACUGGGAAUUCUCCAUCUUAAAGAAGCGCUCCCAAGUGACUACAGAAGCCUCGACACCCAGCGUGAUCAGUGAGUAAAUUUCCAAGCCAUCAAGAAGAAAUACGGUUGUCUCUCCAGCGUUCCAACAGGACCAUUCCAACAUCACUUGAACGUAAGCUCAAUGAAAACUGGCCUUUUCCUAUGUUUGGUUCACUGCUGGGACCCGGCACAUAGGGAAGAACCUCUUCAAUAACAAUACUCAGUGGAUUUUCCUUAAAUUACUGAGACUGUGGAAGGCUGGUUGUGUUGGAGGUACUCUGCAAGGCAUUGGAAAUAUUGGGAAAGUAAAUCCAGGGUCCACAACCUCAUCAUCUACCAGGAGCUGUGGAAUCCGAGUGCGGCUGCCAAGAGGAAUCCAGAAAAGCCAAAGAGCCCAAGCAUGUCAGACCUUCCUGUAGCCACACACACACACACCUCAAACCCCAAGGAAGUGAGUGAGAAUCACAGGCAGGGAGACAGCCAACCAGGAUCUCGUCCCGGAUACCGCACUGCAUUUGUUCGUCGUGUCUAAGACACCUUCAAUCUAUGACUGUUUCUCUGACAUGUUUCUGAUGACCUUUACAGUUUCACGGAGUGCAGGUCAGUCUAUUGUAGAGUGCUCCUCAUUUGGAAUUUGUCUGAUGUUUUUGCAUAAUUAGACUGCCUAUGGGUUUUUGAAAGACUGCAGAGGUGAACCAUGAUUUGGGGAUGCACAGUUAGACAUGACUGAGCGACUAACUCAUCCGCUAUCAACAUGGCUUGUCACUGUUGAGCUUUCCCUUGAUCCCCUGGUGGAGAUAAUGUUGGCCAGGUUUUUCCAUCAAGUUCCUCUUUUUACCCCCUUUUCCAUAUUUUUAGAAGCACAUCCCUAGGCAUAGAUCAUAGCGUUGUUUGAAGGUUAAAUGAGAUGAUAAAGCUCUUAGCACAGAGCACGGUGCUUAGAAAACCCUCAUUAAAUGUGACUGUCAUUGUUGCUUUUGCUCUCGUAGUCCCCUUAAGUACUUAAAAAUCUUUACAGCACCUUCCUUGUAUUUAUACCAUUCUCAGUCCUCUAUUGAUGUUGAUCAGAAAGUAAAAAUAAGAGCGCUCACAAACUUCUCAAGUGAGAUGGCUGUACUCAAAGUCACUCUAGGACAGGGAGUAUGAGAAGUCACUUGAGCGUUGCCACUGAAAGGUCUUGCUAAAUUGGGACCAUCAGCAUCUGGUCCUAUUUCAAGGGUUGGCAUCAGUCAUCAAGGAUGAGCAUGGAGAUGACAGUGGAGGGGGUGGGGGUGGCUGACAAGUCGUGGGCAUGAAAGAAAAAUGGAAAGUAAUUUAGGAGCUAUGCCUACAUUAUGGUGAGAGCCCCUACUCCUUACCACCCUCCAUGGUCAAAUUUGAUAGCUUUCAGGUAGAAUUCUCAGUUCUUAGAUAAAAACUGUCUUCCAGCACUUCUGUAUAAAAUGAGGGCCUUGUUCUAUGACCUGAGACGCUUCAAAACUCUUGCAGUUGUUGCUGGAGGUAUUCGCUGAGCCUGGAUAAUAGAGCUUGGAGUCCUGUGAAACCGUGUCUGUUGGAAUAAAUAAGAACAGCUGGUUUCUUGUACAGAUAGUGUUUGGCAUGAAUUUUUUAUUUAAGUCUCUCCAUGUAUCUGGUAAACAGUAAGCAGUAUUCAAACACUACUUAAAGCCUCCCAAGUCUCCUUCCAAUAAAUUUCCUUCACUCCUCCCCAUUUAAAAGUUCAGUGUGUAGGGCAGGGUUAAUGUAGCAGAAAAGGAAUGCUAGGAAAGUAUUUUCUGAGCUAGAGAAAAUAAGGUUCCUCUUCUAUGUAUUCUUUCCCAUUUGACCUUCAACUUCUCUCUUAGAUAACGCAUUUUUGGGGACUGUUUCUUGGGAAAGCAAGAUUUAUGCAGAUAUUCUUUUACUGGUGUGGAUGUACUAAGUGAAGAGAGACACAUUCGUGUUAAAAUGGAAUCCUCUGUCCCUGUGUUCUUCAAGGGGAGAAGAUUUACAUCUGCAUUAAGGGUAGAUGGUGAACUGUUCACUUCGUAUUCUUUAAAUGACUAGCAAGCAAACUGUUUUCCAUUUUCCGUUGUGAAUUUCAGCCUUAACAUGCUUACUUGAGACUGAGAAUGCCUUUCCUGUCCUACAGAGAACCCAGCACGCCCUUGAAGAACAUUCAUGGCAUCAUUCAUUUAUUCUGUUGUCUUUGUUAUUCACAGUAGAAAGAAAUUUUUAAAUUUAAAUCUGCCAAAUUAAUGUUGGGCGUCUAAAGGAGUAUAAACUAUGAUGUUGUAUUGUAUAUAGUCUUGCUUGUAUUGUUUUUUCAAGCAAACAGUGAGUUCCCUGGCCUGGAGGCUGGGAAUAUAAAUAAAGAUAAGAUAGGGAUCUACUUCACCAAUCAAGUGAUAACCUUUAUGGGCUCCAGGAGAUUUUUAUUAUUCUUUUAAGACUUUGCAGGACUUUUGUGGUCAUCAGGGUUGCUCUGUGACUUCUUGGACAAAGCUGAAAAGUCACCAUGGGGUUUGCUUUUAUCCCUUUCUACCUAUCUUAGUGGGAACCUGCGCAUUUCGAUUCUGGAGGGGCCUGAUGGAAAGACCCCCUUGACCUAGGUCAGGCAGGUAGUGUGAGCAAGAAGCAAACUUCCAUUAUUACAUGUCAGUAGAAUGUAGGAAGAUGUGUUCCUGCGAUAUUAUCAGCUUGUCCUGACUAAUCCAGUCGACGUUCUGAUAUCUUUCAAGUCUCUAGAAUUAAGGCCUAAAUAUUUAAGCUGUUGAGGGGAUAUUCACAGCUGUGAUGAUGGCAAGGGUAGGAAGUCUGCACACAUGGUCGUUACUAUCACACAGGACCUGGGUGGGCAGUUUAUACUCUGAGAGGUGUGACCUACACUUCAGUAUAUUGUUAAUAUUUCUUCAUGGAGAUUAUAUCCCUUCUCACCUGCAUGUCUGCUUCUCAGUCUUUACAUAAUGGAGAUUAAUUCUAAAAAAGGGAAAAAUCAAUGUGUGUACACACACACACACACACACGCACACACACACACACACUAGCUUACCCUCCCAAGAGUCACAUGAGAGAUUUUGAUGCCAAACUACUGGUUGAGUGCCAGGAAGAAUUUCUUGGGUGGACAUAAUGCUUAAUUUAUAUUCAGGGGAUUUCCACUGGUAAAUCACAGAGCUUAUAAAAUUUGAAAAGAGGAGGAGGGGUUGGAGAAGGAAAAAAAAGAAGGGCCCAGGGACGUGGUUGACAAUGUUCCUUUUAAUUUAAAGCCACCUGAAGGUUUCAGUUGAAUAAUAAAUUCCCAUAUGGUUUCCGUUCUUUCAAUGUUAGGACCUCAGAAAUGCAGUCUACUUUUAGCCUUGGCUUCUGCUUGCCUCUUUGUCAGGCUGAGAACGCUUCCCGUCUGCCUGCUGGUAGGAAGUGUGAGCCAAGCCCACUUCUUCUGGGGAUAGUUCCCAGGCUGGACUUUCUGCUGGGCAGGUUGGCUUUUCUGACCUGGAAGACCCACUCCCCUGGGGUGCGCUUAACUCUUCUUGGAGGAGUGGGGAUAGCCAGGGCGACCACUCAGGAUGACUUCAGGCUUCAUAGUGAGAAAGUAUCCUUAGAGGUCCUUUCUCAGCCCCGCUCGUGUUCUUCCCAGUCAUGCAGUUCUCUUUACAAUAAACUUGUCCCUUGAAGGAAUAUCCCAUCCUGCAUUGGGGUUUUUUUGGUAAACAUCAGACUCUUUAGAAGGGCAAAUACUCAGUAAACCCUGAAAACCUGAAUAUAGAGUUCAGUCACUUGUACUUUCAUUACUAAAAGUUUCCUCUUUUCCUGAUCCUGUGUAGGUUUACUUUCCUCAUGUGUUAAUGAGGUCAUGGCAUACUCAGGAAGUUUGUGGAGAAAACUUUAGGGAAACUGUUUUUGCAGUAUGAUGGUUGCUCUAAUCCUCCUUUUCUCUUAGUUUUCUUUUCAGUGUUACUGUCAAAGCUACUUUACUUGAAUUCUUCAUGAAAAAAUCAUCCAGUUUUCUUUUGAGAGAAACCUAGUGGAACAUACACAUACACACACCAAUUUAUAUUUAAACCUGGAUCUGAAGUUUUUCAGUUUUUAUAAUAGGUUGAGUUAAACUAUCUACAGACUAGAAAUCCACUAUAACCAUGUACUCUUGGUUGUAUAAACUGUUCUGGCUUAAUUUGUGAACUUGUACACAAAUAUCAUUAAAUGCCAUGAGAUAAUGUUGCUGUGGCUC